rnacentral:rRNA from 1 species
UACAGAGGUCUCAAGCGUUUGUUCGGAUUCAUUGGGCGUAAAGGGUGCGUAGGCGGCGCGGUAAGUCGGGUGUGAAAUCUCGGAGCUUAACUCCGAAACUGCAUUCGAUACUGCCGUGCUUGAGGACUGGAGAGGAGAGUGGAAUUCCCGGUGUAGCGGUGAAAUGCGCAGAUAUCGGGAAGAACACCCGUGGCUAAGGCGGCUCUCUAGUACGGUACUGACGCUGAGACGCGAAAGCGUGGGGAGCGAACAGG